GACGAACGCUGGCGGCGUGCUUAACACAUGCAAGUCGAACGGAAAGGCCCUGCUUUUGUGGUGUGCUCGAGUGGCGAACGGGUGAGUAACACGUGAGUAACCUGCCCUUGACUUUGGGGUAACUUCAGGAAACUGGGGCUACUAUCGGAUAGCAGCUCCUGCUCCGUGGUGGGCGGUGGAACGUUUCGGCGGGUGGGGAUGGACUCGCGGGUUAUGGGCUUGUUGGUUGGGUAGUGGCUUACCAAGGCAUUGACGGGUAGCCGGCCGGAGAGGGUGACCGGCCACAUUGGGACUGAGAUACGGCGCAGACGCGUACGGGAGGCAGCAGUGGGGAAUAUUGCACAAUGGGCGGAAGCCUGAUGAAGAAACGUCGCGGGCGGGAUGACGGCCUGCGGGUUGUAAAACGCUUUCGCCUGUGACGAAGCGUGAGUGACGGUAAUGGGUAAAGAAGCACCGGCUAACUACGUG
rnacentral:rRNA from 1 species